UUUCCGUAGGUGAACCUGCGGAAGGAUCAUUAUUGAAUACGUUUGGUUCUGAUGCUGGCUCUUCACUGAGCAUGUGCUCGAUCCAUAACUAUUUAUCUUCUCUUGUGCACCUUUUGUAGUCUUUCAGAGCAAGUGAUAACUCUCGCAGCAAUGCGGUUUGGGGGACUUGGGCGUGAGCCCUUCCCCUUCGUUUGCUUCUUUGGAGGGCUAUGUUUUCAUAUACACUAUAAAGUUACAGAAUGUCUUUUAAAGGUUGUGCUAGUCGCAGUCAUUAAACCUAUACAACUUUCAGCAACGGAUCUCUUGGCUCUC
rnacentral:misc_RNA from 1 species